UAAACAUUGACAGUUAAUUACACCCACUGUCCGCCUGGGAACUACGAGCACCAGCUUAAAACCCAAAGGACUUGGCGGUGCUUUAGACCCACCUAGAGGAGCCUGUUCUAGAACCGAUAAUCCCCGUUAAACCUCACCCUUCCUUGUCAUUUCCGCCUAUAUACCACCGUCGUCAGCUUACCCUGUGAAGGCCCAAUAGUAAGCGCAAUCGGCAAUGCCCAAAACGUCAGGUCGAGGUGUAGCGAAUGGAAGGGGAAGAAAUGGGCUACAUUUACUAACACAGUAAAUACGGAUGAUUACCCUGCAACGAGUAUCUGAAGGAGGAUUUAGCAGUAAGCAAAAAGCAGAGUGUUUUGCUGAAAUUGGC
rnacentral:rRNA from 1 species